AGAGUUUGAUCAUGGCUCAGAAUCAACGCUGGCGGCGUGCCUAACACAUGCAAGUCGCACGAGAAAGUGGAGCAAUCCAUGAGUACAGUGGCGCACGGGUGAGUAACACGUGACUUAUCUACCUCCGAGUGGGGAAUAACCUAGAGAAAUCUGGGCUAAUACCGCAUAACACUUACGAGUCAAAGCAGCAAUGCGCUUGGAGAGGAGGUCGCGGCAGAUUAGUUAGUUGGCGGGGUAAUGGCCCACCAAGACGAUGAUCUGUAUCCGGCCUGAGAGGGCGCACGGACACACUGGAACUGAAACACGGUCCAGACUCCUACGGGAGGCAGCAGUGGGGAAUUUUGCGCAAUGGGGGAAACCCUGACGCAGCAACGCCGCGUGGAGGAUGAAAUCCCUUGGGAUGUAAACUCCUUUCGAUUGGGAAGAUUAUGACGGUACCAAUAGAAGAAGCCCCGGCUAACUUCGUGCCAGCAGCCGCGGUAAUACGAGGGGGGCAAGCGUUGUUCGGAAUUAUUGGGCGUAAAGGGCGCGUAGGCGGUUUGACAAGUCUGAUGUGAAAUCUCUGGGCUCAACCCAGAGUCUGCAUUAGAAACUGUCGGGCUUGAGUAUGGGAGAGGUGAGUGGAAUUUCCGGUGUAGCGGUGAAAUGCGUAGAUAUCGGAAGGAACACCUGUGGCGAAAGCGGCUCACUGGACCAUAACUGACGCUGAGGCGCGAAAGCUAGGGGAGCAAACAGGAUUAGAUACCCUAGUAGUCC
rnacentral:rRNA from 1 species